ensembl:snRNA U6 U6 spliceosomal RNA
CUGCUGCCUCGGCUGCACAUAGACCAAUAUUGGAGCGAGACAGAGAAGAUUAGCAUGGCCCCUGGACAAGGAUGACAUGAAAAUUCAGGAAGCGUUCCAUAUUAAA